GGGUCUCAUGUCAUGAACAGGAGUAUCUGCUGCCUGUAAAAGGACUGGGAAAUUACAGGUGCUCUGGGUGUUUGAAUCACCUUGGAUUUUCAUCAUGGAGGUGAGGCAGAUCUAUUUCCAGGGGCUGUCAUGCAUAUAGGCCUUUCUUAAUGAGAAUUUAUGAGGCCAGUGAGGGACAGAGGGGAGAGAGUCUCCCUUAAAACAGCAUGGAAGUCAGAUACCACACACGGGGAUAAGCCCCAGAACCUUGGCAGAGCUGUGGACUUGGUGAAGAGCUUUAAGAAGUCCACUUAUCAGUUGGUGGCACCAAGGUACUCUGUGUGUGUGCAAGGAGCUCUUGUAUCAACGUGGAAGGGCCCUUCUCAGGAGCUGUGAGUCUAUUGCUGUGAGUAUGAUGUGAUAACACAGCCUCAGACUGCAGCAAGACAAAUCCUGGUGGCCUGAGAGAAGCAAUCUUCACAGGGAGAGCAGUCAAGACUGGAAUAGACGUCCACAUAUGCAGGGGCACCUAAGAUGAAAACUCUCUUCCACCUCUCUGUCAUGUUUAUGGACUGCUGCAUGGAUAACUGACUGCUUCUGCUUGGCGAGGGUGAUGCUAACAUAAAGCCUUUUGCGGUAUUACACUGCGCCACAAGGUGGCACUGGAAGAUUGCUAUAAUCCAGCGUAAUUAACACCAUCACCCCGCAGUCUCUGACAGAGAAAGCACGAAUUUUUGUAUUAAACGAUGUAAACCGAGGGAACUGGCAAUUUUUUCUUUCUUCUGAUUUUUGGAUUCACUGAAAUUUUUUUUAGUGAAGUUUUUUCAAGAGUGAAAGGGAAAUGUGUCGGUGUGCAGUGUAGCUAUUGCAAAAGCACAACAGACUAACUAGACAAACUGACAUCCCUUUGUUUUUCAACAUGUAUUCGUUAAUACUGGCGUUCCUAACAGCUGUGUCUGUUUUUGUAGCGAAUUGUUCAUACCUCAGCAGCAACUGCAAUGCAAAAGUGGGAUUUUAAUUUCCUCUGUAAUUUCUUUGGUAAGUUGUCUGAAGCUUUCUCUUCCCUUACAAAGCUGAAAAUCUAUUUCAGGUUUUCCUUAAAGGUGAAAAUUCUCCCAAAGUUUGUCUGCUUCUAAUAGAUUUCACAGUAGUCUAAUCCAAAAUAUCUCACUUGGUUUUAAUACCAGAUGUAGGCUUGGGUAAACAAAACCAGUCAAUUACCGUAUUGCUAUUACAGGUGAAAUAUGACACGUUUUUGCAUGGCUUUGCAAAGUAUAUAGCUCCUUCCCAUAUUGUCACAUUUCUUUCUGAUCAAAGCUGUUUUGUACUUUAAUGAAGUAACAAGAUGUUGCUCACUUGGGUGGGCCAUUGUCUGACUGAAGACUGUCUUUUACACCUAUGACUAAAAGAAUGCCCUCAAGCUAACAAAGAAAAUAAAACAUGUUGGUACCUUUCUAGUCCUAAGUACUACAGCUAAAAUGUACAAUCUUGAUCAUGAAAUGUGAACAGCCUUCAAUAGUUUAAAAAAUAUUCCUUUCUGGUCUUAAGACCUGACCACAUGAAAUAAUUUACUUGAUCGGGGACUUGGAAAAAAUUUGUCUUUAAAAAUUCUUGUUGCUGCAAGACAUAUCCAAAGGAGACUUCUCACAAAAGCUCAACUCCACCUCGUUCAAAGGAAGUCUCAAUACUUUGAUUUAUCUGAUGAAGAACAGAGUGGUCAUCCAAAUUUACAGGUCUAAAACACAAAAGACAAAGUUUUUAUGAAUAGUUUCCUGAUAGCUCAUUUUGUCUUAUAGGUAAAAUGACAUUAAGUUAUUCAUUAUGAAAGGUAAAAAAUCCCCCUCAGGUUUUGCUACUCAGUGAUCUAGAGGCAAAAUCAGUGUGGUUGGUAAUCUACAAAACCACCAUGAAGCAAAAGCAAUGUGAAAGGGUUCAGAGCUCUACAAAACACACUGAACACUCACUCAGAAACUGGUUUCUUUCUAGCUACAGCCAGUGGCAGCUGUAUUUGACAUGAAGGGUCCUGUGUCUGAGCUCAGGCUCUUCUAUCUGAGAUCAUUAAUCCUUUUAUCAGGUGCUUUCUUAAAAGAGAAUAAGGUUCCUUUUGGACACAGCCAUUCCAGUAAUUUACCACCUGUACUUCCCUUCCUGAGGUCAACAGAGCUUUUUACUGCAGCGUGUAAAAGCUGUAGCCCCAGCCUGGCUCUGUGAGCAGGUGAGUGUAGAGCAGCAGACCCAGCACUCGCUGCCUGUCAGCCUGGCACCAGUGUGCCUGCCACAAACCCCAAGAGGUAGAAGAGUGGGUGGAAAGAGCUGCCCCCAGAGCCUUCAGUGUGACGGCUCCAGCAGUAAGAAGAACCCGACUGGGCGUGCAGCCUGAUGUCCUGCCCUGCCUGGCUGCAGCUGCAGCCACUCCAUAGAGUGACAAGUAAAUUCUGGCUUCAGGACAGCACUGCUGUUGGGUGUAUGAAGUCAA